GAGUGAAGAAGGCCUUCGGGUCGUAAAGCUCUGUUGCGGGGGAAAAAAGGGACGGACAGGAAAUGGUCUGUCACUGAUGGUGCCCCGCCAGAAAGUCACGGCUAACUACGUGCC
rnacentral:rRNA from 1 species